rnacentral:rRNA from 1 species
GACGAACGCUGGCGGCGUGCUUAACACAUGCAAGUCGAACGGAAAGGCCCCUUUGGGGGUACUCGAGUGGCGAACGGGUGAGUAACACGUGAGUAACCUGCCCUUGACUUCGGGAUAACUUCAGGAAACUGGGGCUAAUACCGGAUAGGAAUCCUUGCUGCAUGGUGGGGGUUGGAAAGCUUCGGCGGUUUUGGAUGGACUCGUGGCUUAUCAGCUUGUUGGUGGGGUAGUGGCUUACCAAGGCUUUGACGGGUAGCCGGCCUGAGAGGGCGACCGGCCACAUUGGGACUGAGAUACGGCCCAGACUCCGACGGGAGGCAGAAGGGGGGAAUAUUGCACAAGGGGCGGAAGCCUGAUGCAGCAACGCCGCGGGCGGGAUGACGGCCUUCGGGUUGAAAACCGCUUUCAGCAGGGGCGAAGCUUGUGGUGACGGUACCUGCAGAAGAAGCACCGGCUAACUACGUG